GUGUUCGCUUGGGCAGCACAUAUACUAAAAUUGGAAUGAUACAGAGAAGAUUAUCAUGGCCCCUACACAAGGAGGACACACAAAUUCGUGAAGUGUUCCAUAUAUAA
ensembl:snRNA U6 U6 spliceosomal RNA